AGAAAAAUAAGCUAAUUAAGCUAGUGGGUUCAUACCCCGUUUAUAGGAGUUUUAAUCUCCUUUUUUCUA
rnacentral:tRNA from 1 species